CACACUCCAGUGUUAAUCUGCAAAAUUGUAACUAUUCGUCUACCUCCUCAUGCCUUUUGCACACAUUGUAUAUAGACUCCCCCUUUGUUUUCUACUGUGUUAUUGACUUGUUAAUUUGUUUAUUCCAUGUGUAACUCUGUGUUGUCUGCUCACACUGCUAUGCUUUAUCUUGGCCAGGUCGCAGUUGUAAAUGAGAACUUGUUCUCAACUAGCCUACCUGGCUAAAUAAAGGUGAAAUAAAAAAAUUUAAAAAAACUUUUUAAAAAGUAGAUAUUCCAAAGGCAUCAGUGAAUUGUGAGCGUGGAGGCCUGGAGAUGCUAAACAUGUUUAUGUUAAUUAACGGCCAAUUACCAUGAGGCUCUACUUUAAUUCAUUUGUCAAGUGUUCUACUCCGCUACCCAGCCAGCCCAGCCCAGCCGACCCAGCGCCUUACCUAAAUAGGUGUGCGUUUCUUUAGCCUCUAAAUUAACGGUCAAUUACCAUGAGACCUGCAGGCUUUUUCAUGACAAUAGCCCGCUGACAACAUUUCAUAACCGCCACAGCUCUACGUCCGACGGCUGGUAGAUCAUUUUUUUACAGCUUUUUCUCUUCACACGGAAUCAGUUUUUUUUUUUUACCCAGUCAAGGACCAAUCAUGAACAUACACAUAGUCAGGCUCUUUCAGAAACCAAUCAUGAACACACACGUACAGUCAUGACAACAGGUUUCUAUAAAAGCGUUGUCUUGUUUGAGCCAAACAUCUUUUCUUUUCUAAAUCUGACAUUUGAGUGACACUGUCAACUUGCUUUGCUCAGGCUCAUCCUGUGACUUGACCAGUUUUCAGAUGGAUUUCUACACCAGCAACAGACGUGCCACACUUGCUCUUCUGGAGAUGGUCGAUUUCAUCGAUGAUCUGAUGGAUGCUCUGCUCGAUGAUCGGAUGGGUGUUCAGACCGAAGCUCUGAUCCAUGCUCUGAUCCAUGCUGGGCUCAAUGUUCUGGGCAAUGUUUGGAUCGGUUUUGGGAAACCUGCUCUGAUCGAUGAUCUGAUCGUUGCUCUGAUCAAUUUUCAGACGGAUGAUCUGAUGCAUACUCUGAUUGAAGCUCUGAUCAAUUUUCGUAUUGAAGCUUCGAUCUGUGCUGCUCCGAUCUAUACUUUCCCCACUCUGCGCUCAACGUUCCUUUGUAUCUUCGAUCAGCCACCCAAAAAUACUCUUCAGCUCUUCUUCUCCGCCAUGCCAUCUGAUCCAGGCCAGAAGCAAUGGGUAGACAAGGGCAGAUGCUUGGUGCGACCACAAAAAGACCAAAUUGCUACUACUCCUCCUCCGGAUGUGUGGUUUUCAGCCUCCCCUUGGGACCAGGGCUAUAACAAGGACCAGGACCAGGACUAUAACCAGGACCAGGACUAUAACAAGGACCAGGACCAGGACUAUAACAAGGACCAGGACCAGGACUAUAACCAGGACCAGGACUAUAACAAGGACCAGGACCAGGACUAUAACCAGGACCAGGGCUAUAACAAGGACCAGGACCAGGACUAUAACCAGGACCAGGACUAUAACAAGGACCAGGACCAGGACUAUAACAAGGACCAGGACCAGGACUAUAACCAGGACCAGGGCUAUAACAAGGACCAGGACCAGGACUAUAACCAGGACCAGGACUAUAACAAGGACCAGGACCAGGACUAUAACAAGGACCAGGACCAGGACUAUAACAAGGACCAGGACCAAGGUAGCGGAUGGAGAACACAUGGACCAUAUGGAGACCUAUGUGCCAUCGCUGCCCUCCUGUUUCUUGGUUGUCAGUAGUUAACAUAGCCACACAAAGUCAAAACUGGCUAAAAUGUAAACAUUUAUAAAGACAAAAAUGUGCUUUUUGGUCUUAAUUUAAAGUUAGGGUUAGGCAUAAGGUUAUCAGUGUGGUUAAGGUUAGGGUUAAAAUCACAUUUUAAGAAGAUAAACUGUAGAAAUAGGUGGGGUUUUGACUUUGUGGCUGUGGUAACUGGUGACGAGCGAUAGCACCAACCCCCAAGGGAGAUUAGCUGACGUCAUGGAGUCAACUAAUGGGUAUCUUAAUAAAAAGUUCACUCUGUUGUCUUUUUCGCUCUCUCCAUAUAUUUUUCUGUGGUUCUCUCUCUUGCGGAUUACCUUCAUUUUGAUGUGAGGUGAAGCGAUGAAGACUGAUAAAAGAGUCUACGUUUACUCCCCUUCAUGCAUCCAAGACUUAACAAGCGCCCACUUACUAACAUUACACAAUUCAGCUUUGCUUUGACAUCCGCUAUCAGAUCCAUGAAGGGGAGUGAACAGGGACAGGAGAGAACAUCUUCCUGGAAUGAAACAGGUUGAGUUUAAAGUGUGACCAUGUUAUUUUGUAAAUAUAUUGUAUAGAGUAUUGUAGUUCAGAAUAUCUCUACUCCUGUCAGGUCAGUCUAUUUUUGAUUGCUACUGGUGACCCUGUAACCCGGUACUAUCCUGUGUCAGUAAUUUGAGAUAUAUAUGGUUAAAUUAAAAAAGAUUUGUAAUAUUGAUAUUGUGCGUGACAGAAAAAUGUCCUUUAGAGUGGAACUUGAGGCAGCAGAUGUUUCUGACUCUGAGCAGGCGCCAAAGAUUUUGUACAAACUCAAACGUAGGAAAAGCAUGGAUGAGCCUAUAUUUUUUAGCUCAGAAACAGAGAUCUACAUAAGUAAAGAUGCAGAUUAUCAGACAUUGAGAGUUAAAAACAAUGGCAUAGACUCUUCUCAACGCAAACGUAGGAAUAGCUUAAAUAUUCCACCAGAUUUUUGAGCAGUGCUGUAACAUGCACACUGCAACAUAUACAUGCUUUAUGUAUACUUCCGAGAUACAUAGUCACACUUUAAACCAAGUAUACUGUAUCUAAUAAAGCCUUCAUGACACCUUCAUAAUGUCCUACAUAGAGGCUACACAAAUCAUUUGAAAUCAAAUGUCAUGCUGCAAGAAAAGGUGAUGUAACAGGUCCUUUGUUAUAGUCCCUCCCCAAAUGUAUAACCCCAAAAAGGUUGAGACAACAUGUUCUAAGUCGCCGAUGAUGCAAAUGUUACAUCAGGUCUUAGGCCUGAAAGAGACCGUUGUUUUAGUCUAUUUCUGACUCACCUAGGGUGUUUUUAAGUAUAUUAGCUUAAAGGGCAUCUCCAACACUUUUUAACCUCAUUCUCAUUAUGUCCAGCACAAUACCAGUGUCAACAUAUGUGAAAAUGGCACAUUUGUGUGUUUUGUAGAAAAAUGAUUUAAAAAGACAUCAAAAGUUGAAACAUUUAAAAAUCUGUGAUUUUCAAGGUAACCUGGGAAGCAAGAUAAUACUCUCCCUUGGGCUAGAAACUUGUUGAAGAUUUUGAAAAUCACUUUUAAUCCUAACCUCUGCAUUUUUAAGGACCUUGUCUUUUAAACCACAGAUCAUAGAAAUGCCCUGUUUUCACAUAUUUAGACACUGUUUUUUCUUGGAGUUGAUGAACAUAAGGUUGAGAAAUAGCAGAAUUGCUCUUUAACAUUGUUCAGAAAAUCCUGGAAUGCAUUGAAAAUGUAUCAUUCAAAAGCACAUUGCUUUUGAACCAGCUAACAAAUUGUUAAUUGUUUAGAUGAAUCAACAACACCCUAGAUAAGUAAGAACUGUCCCUUCAACAGAUUAUUUAUAUAUUUUUAAAUAUAUUUAUAUUUGUUUGAUGUAAUUUGCAUGUAUAUAUGGUUUACUUGAAUUCAAGUGACUGUCAGAUCACAAUUAACAUUGCAUGGAGCAUGAGUUAUACACGAAGGAGGUAGACAGAAGGACGGCAUACUAACCAUUUCCUCUUCAUUGCUCUGUAGAAAAUGUGCCCUACAUCAAAAACUGUUUGUCACCCUUGAUAGAGUAUAAGGUUAAACUACUGUCAUACUAACAUCGAUUAUUGCUCCUAUGUUUUAAAUGUAUAUAUCUUUUGUAUUUGUAAUGUUAAUAAAAAUCUGCUAUUUUAUUUUUGUCCCCAUGCAGUCCUAAUUUUAAACUGAGUAAAUUAAGAAUGAUUAAUUGUUUUAGAACAAAAUACAAAUUUCCUGCAUCAGUAGCACAACCUUGUUAUAUUGGGACAAAAACCUAUCCAAUGUAGAACACUUUUUGAAUCCUCUUAGAAAGGCUCUCAGUAAAUGUACUGGGAGGAUCAUGUCUUAAAAUAUGGUUGACACUAAGAAAUACAAUUUAUUGGGAUUAACAUCUAAAGCACUAAAUGGAUGACUGACUAGAAAAAUAACUGUCACUGGACAAUGAUAUGAAAUAGUCAGAUCAGAGUUUACAAUCUGUCAAAUACUUACUGUUUAAAACAUUCAGGAACUACACUGAAAACAUGAUGGAAACCUGCUCUUUCCAUGACAUACUGUAGACUGACUGAACAGGUGAAUCCAGGUGAAAGCUAUGAUCUUUUAUUGAUGUCACUUGUUAAAUUCACUUCAAUCAGUGGAGAUGAAGUGGAGGAGACAAGUUAAAUAAUAAUUGUAAGCCUUAGGACAAUUGAGACAUGGAUUGUCUAUGUGUGCCAUUCAGAGGAUGAAUGGGCAAGACAAGUAUUUAAGUGCCUUUGAACGGGGUAUGUUAGUAGGUGCCAGGUGCACCGGUUUGUAUCAAGAACUGCAACACUGCUGGGUUUUUCAGCCUCAACAGUUUCCUGUGUGUAUUAAGAAUGGUCCACCACCCAAAGGACAUCCAGCCAACUUGACACAACUGUAGGAAGCAUUGGAGUCAACAUGGGCCACCAUCCCUGUGGAACGCUUUCGUCUCCUUGUAGAAUCCAUGCCCCAAUAAAU
ensembl:lncRNA